GCAAGAGUCAGGAUAAGAAGUAUGACACUCACAGUGAAAGCACAAAACAUCAAGCCAACAGUUCAGGACUAGUCAUUCAAAUGGACUAAAGGUGGGGGAGAAAAAAUAAGAGUGGAUAAAAGAAAGAAAGAAAACAGAGAAAGGUGGGAAAAAAAAAACAAAGGAAGGAAGAGAGAAAAGAGAAUGAGAGGAAGAGAAGGAAGGGGAAAAACAAGAUUGACUUUACAGUAUGAGAUAUACUAUUAUAUAUUGUAGUAUGAUGCCUCUGGCUUCCCUCUAUCACACGUCUUCUUUUCGAGUAAAGGUUUUUCAUAAAUGUGAGCGUGGAAGAAGAAACCAGUUAAAUAUGGAACUUCACACCAGGACACAAAAGGACUUCAAACUUUUAGAUUCCACAAGUAUGUGAAAAGAUGCAGUAUUUGUCUUUCUGUGCAUGGUUUACUUCACUUAUCAUCAUGUCCCUCAGGUUCAUCCACGUUGUUGCAAAUGACAGGAUUUCAUUCAUUUUUAAGACUGAAUAGUACUCCAUUAUGCAAAUAUACCAGAUUUUCAUUGUCUAUUCGUUCACUGAUGAACACGGGUUAAUCCUAUAUGUUGGCUAUUGUGAAUAAAGCUGCAAUGAAUAUGAGAGUACAGAUAUAUUCUUGACAUAUUAAUUUUAUUUUAUUUGGCAAUAUACCCAAUAGUAGCUAGAUCAUAUCAGAGUUCUAUUUUUAAUUUUUGAGGAAACUUCAUACUGUUUUUCAUAAUAGUUAUUACUAAUUUACACUCAGUAUACAAGAGUUCCCUUUUCUCCACAUUCUUUCCAAAAUUUGUUUCCUUUUCCCUUUUUGAUAACAGCUACUCUAACUGGGGUGAAAUAAUAUCUCACUGUGGUUUUAAUUUUCAUUUAUCUGAUUAAUGAUUUUGAGCUUUUUAAAAUAAAUACUUGUUGGCAAUUUGUAUGUCAUCUUUUGAGAAGUGUCUAUUAAAAUUUGUUUGCCUAUUU
rnacentral:lncRNA from 1 species